AUUUAUCACAAAGCACUGAAAAUACCUGAGGCCAAAAGCACUAUGUAAAGUCCGUUUUACAACUUUGUAUUUCACCAGCAAAAGAGCUUAUAAGCGACUAAAUUAUGUUUGAAUUGUUGAAGUACUGAGUUGUUUUUCCGCGCUUUGAUUGGACAAUCACCCGAUGUCCUCUGGCCAAACAAACAGGUAAACAAACAGCAAGCUUUAUUGGCGAAAUCAAAUAUAUAUAAGACAAAUAUAUUUAUACAGGUAUAUGUCUAUAUAUUAUUGCACACCGAAUAAGGAAAGGAAAGAGAGACCUUCCACGCGCAAACUGAUCUAUCGGCAAACUGUCGAAGAAUUGUUGAUACCGAUACCACUAACAAAGCCGCCGUACAUAUAGGCUAGCCUGUCGGACCUUUCCAUGCAUGUUCAUGUAUAAAACAUAUAUAUAUAUAUAUACAAAUACGUAGCCAUAGCCAUACCCAUAACACACCCAGACCAGGGUCUUACCAACGUUUAGAUAUCCCUAAAUACGUGCAUACCAAGUGCAUUGCACUCUCUAAUAGUUGAUAUAAUAAAAACCAUAUACGAUCCUCA